rnacentral:rRNA from 1 species
AACGAACGCUGGCGGCAGGCUUAACACAUGCAAGUCGAACGCCCCGCAAGGGGAGUGGCAGACGGGUGAGUAACGCGUGGGAACAUACCCUUUUCUACGGAAUAGCUCUGGGAAACUGGAAUUAAUACCGUAUACGCCCUACGGGGGAAAGAUUUAUCGGGGAAGGAUUGGCCCGCGUUGGAUUAGCUAGUUGGUGGGGUAAAGGCCUACCAAGGCGACGAUCCAUAGCUGGUCUGAGAGGAUGAUCAGCCACAUUGGGACUGAGACGCGGCCCAAACUCCUACGGGAGGCAGCAGUGGGGAAUAUUGGACAAUGGGCGCAAGCCUGAUCCAGCCAUGCCGCGUGAGUGAUGAAGGCCUUAGGGUUGUAAAGCUCUUUCACCGAUGAAGAUAAUGACGGUAGUCGGAGAAGAAGCCCCGGCUAACUUCGG